rnacentral:rRNA from 1 species
UACGCAGGGGGCUAGCGUUGCUCGGAAUCACUGGGCGUAAAGGGUGCGUAGGCGGGUCUUUAAGUCAGGGGUGAAAUCCUGGAGCUCAACUCCAGAACUGCCUUUGAUACUGAAGAUCUUGAGUUCGGGAGAGGUGAGUGGAACUGCGAGUGUAGAGGUGAAAUUCGUAGAUAUUCGCAAGAACACCAGUGGCGAAGGCGGCUCACUGGCCCGAUACUGAGGCACGAAAGCUAGGGGAGCAAACAGG